GAUGAAUAACGUAGCGAAAUGCGAUAAGUAAUGUGAAUUGCAGAAUUCAGUGAAUCAUCGAAUCUUUGAACGCACAUUGCGCCCGCCAGUAUUCUGGCGGGCAUGCCUGUUCGAGCGUCAUUACAACCCUCAGGCCCCCGGGCCUGGCGUUGGGGAUCGGCGGAAGCCCCCUGCGGGCACAACGCCGUCCCCCAAAUACAGUGGCGGUCCCGCCGCAGCUUCCAUUGCGUAGUAGCUAACACCUCGCAACUGGAGAGCGGCGCGGCCACGCCGUAAAACACCCAACUUCUGAAUGUUGACCUCGAAUCAGGUAGGAAUACCCGCUGAACUUAAGCAUAUCAAUAAGCGGAGGA
rnacentral:misc_RNA from 1 species